rnacentral:rRNA from 1 species
CCUACGGGUGGCAGCAGUGGGGAAUAUUGCACAAUGGGGGAAACCCUGAUGCAGCGACGCCGCGUGAGUGAAGAAGUAUUUCGGUAUGUAAAGCUCUAUCAGCAGGGAAGAAGCAAGACGGUACCUGACUAAGAAGCCCCGGCUAACUACGUGCCAGCAGCCGCGGUAAUACGUAGGGGGCAAGCGUUAUCCGGAUUUACUGGGUGUAAAGGGAGCGUAGACGGUAUGGCAAGUCUGAAGUGAAAGCCCAGGGCUUAACCCUGGGACUGCUUUGGAAACUGUUAGACUAGAGACCGUUAGGGGUAACUGGAAUUUCUAGUGUAGGAGUGAAAUCCGUAGAUAUUAGAAGGAACACCAAUAGCGUAGGCAGGUUACUGGGACGGUUCUGACACUAAGGCACGAAAGCGUAGGGAGCAAACGGGAUUAGAUACCCCUGGUAGUC